CCCUUAGAUGUUCUGGGCCGCACGCGCGCUACACUGACGAUGGCAACGAGUUUUUCCUUCGCCGAAAGGUGUGGGUAAUCUUUUGAAACAUCGUCGUGCUGGGGAUAGAUCAUUGCAAUUUUUGAUCUUGAACGAGGAAUUCCUAGUAAGCGCGAGUCAUCAGCUCGCGUUGAUUACGUCCCUGCCCUUUGUACACACCGCCCGUCGCUACUACCGAUUGAAUGGUUUAGUGAGGACUCCUGAUUGGCGCCGCCGCCCCGGCAACGGAGCAGCGGACUGCCGAAAAGUUGUUCAAACUUUAUCAUUUAGAGGAAGUAAAAGUCGUAACA
rnacentral:rRNA from 1 species